GGGCCCGUAGCUCAGCCAGGACAGAGCCCUGGUCUCCGGAACCAGAGGUCCCGGGUUCAAAUCCCGGCGGGCCCG
rfam:Acidianus hospitalis W1, complete genome.